rnacentral:rRNA from 1 species
GACGAACGUUGGCGGCGUGCUUAAUACAUGCAAGUCCACUGAAGCAGUGGUAGCAAUAUCGCUGUGGAGGUGGCGCACGGGUGAGUAACACGUAGGUAAUCUGCCUUCAGGUCUGGCAUAACUCCGGGAAACCGGGGCUAAUAGCAGAUGAUGCAGCGGCUCGACAUCGAGACAGUUGUUAAAGCUAUGGCGCCUGAAGAUGAGCCUGCGUCUGAUUAGCUAGUUGGCGGGGUAACGGCCCACCAAGGCAACGAUCAGUAGCUGGUCUGAGAGGAUGAUCAGCCACACUGGAACUGAGACACGGUCCAGACUCCUACGGGAGGCAGCAGUAAGGAAUAUUGCUCAAUGGGAGAAAUCCUGAAGCAGCAACGCCGCGUGAGGGACGAAGGGCUUUUGCUUGUAAACCUCUGUAGUGAGAGAAAAAAAUCCCAAUCGUGGGGACAUGAUGGUAGCUCAAAAGUAAGCCCCGGCUAACUACGUG